AGGAGGAAAUCCUAUGUGUCUGCUCCCAGAGCUGCCACAACCCAUCUUCCCACAACUCGGAACUUGGAAAAAGGAACCCAGGACACGACUUUGCUUUUCUUUUGGACCUAGUUGAUACAAGUUAACAGGAUAUGCUUCUGGCGUGUUUCUGGAUUCUAAGGGUAGAACCAGCAUGAAACUAGUCAGUCCAAGUAUUUCUAAAGAUCCACAGACACAGUUCUCCUAGAUUUGGGAAGCCUAGAGAUAUUAGCACAAUAAUUAUGGCCCAAAGGCAGCACAUAAGAGAGGGAAAGCCAUGCGCGUGGAGUCCAGCACAUCACCCAGAAGGCAGAUGUUCUAUCUCCAUUUUACUCAUUAAAACAAACAAAACCACACCUGGAUUGCCUGCAACUUUUAAAAGCAUUUCCAUUGCACAGUGAAAGAAAACCACAAACUCCUUGUUUAAUAACUCGGAUCAUGUGCUUUUAACGAGAGGAAAAGGUCAAGUCUGAAGCAACUGAUAUGGAACUGCCAGAGUAGGAGUUGAAAAUAUUCCUAAACUGCUGGAGGAUACACCUCUGAUAGCUUGAGACAAAUAUCCUCUUGAUUAUUGUUUCACCAUAUUUGUCUUUGCUCACAGAGAACCAUUUUGACCUGUGGUUUAGCCUCCCAGGUGAUUGAACAAUAG
rnacentral:lncRNA from 1 species